GAGAGAAUCUGUUCAUCAGCUGAGAGACAAACUGGAGGAUUUCUGCAAAGAGCCGCUCAAGAAGAUCUCAGACAGAGAAACACUAACCAGC